CUGUCCUACGGGGGGCAGCAGUGGGGAAUAUUGCACAAUGGGGGGAACCCUGAUGCAGCGACGCCGCGUGAGUGAAGAAGUAUUUCGGUAUGUAAAGCUCUAUCAGCAGGGAAGAAAAUGACGGUACCUGACUAAGAAGCCCCGGCUAACUACGUGCCAGCAGCCGCGGUAAUACGUAGGGGGCAAGCGUUAUCCGGAUUUACUGGGUGUAAAGGGAGCGUAGACGGCAGCGCAAGUCUGGAGUGAAAUCCCA
rnacentral:rRNA from 1 species